GGUAAGUAAUCAGGCAAGGGGUUCCAGGCAGUCAUUUCUUGACUGGAAGCUUGAUUCCAAGUGCUGACUGAUUGCUUUCUUUCUCCUUGUCUUGCAGGUAAGAACAAGGCCAAAGGAAAAGACAGGGAAAAAGCAUGAUAUGGGAUACUCUUUCUUUUAACCCUGAUGAUAUGAGAUACUUUUGCUCUGGUGUGUCUUGUUUGCAAAGGUAUUAUCGGGAGGAAAAGAAGCUGAGUAUUUCAAGAGACUCUGCUGAGAGUGCCCUUUCGAAUGUGAAGAAAAGUUGAGCAUUUUUUUUUAUUUGCAAGUCUGCCUAGCUGUGGAGGAUGGAGAUCGACAUAUAUAGGAGUCUCCCUAACAACAAGUAGUAGUGUUAUUCCUUUACCCUUCUUGGUCAUAACAAUGUAGUGGGAGCUGCA
rnacentral:lncRNA from 1 species